rnacentral:rRNA from 1 species
UCGAGCGGAAACGAUCCCAGCUUGCUGGGAGGCGUCGAGCGGCGGACGGGUGAGUAAUGCAUAGGAAUCUGCCCGGUAGUGGGGGAUAACUUGAGGAAACUCAAGCUAAUACCGCAUACGCCCUACGGGGGAAAGCAGGGGCUCUUCGGACCUUGCGCUAUCGGAUGAGCUUAUGUCGGAUUAGCUGGUUGGUGAGGUAAUGGCUCACCAAGGCGACGAUCCGUAGCUGGUCUGAGAAGAUGAUCAGCCACAUCGGGACUGAGACACGGCCCGAACUCCUACGGGAGGCAGCAGUGGGGAAUAUUGGACAAUGGGCGAAAGCCUGAUCCAGCCAUGCCGCGUGUGUGAAGAAGGCCCUCGGGUUGUAAAGCACUUUCAGUGAGGAAGAAGGCUUGUCGGUUAAUACCCGGCAGGAAAGACAUCACUCACAGAAGAAGCACCGGCUAACUCCGUGCCAGCAGCCGCGGUAAUACGGAGGGUGCAAGCGUUAAUCGGAAUUACUGGGCGUAAAGCGUGCGUAGGCGGCUUGGUAAGCCGGUUGUGAAAGCCCCGGGCUCAA